ensembl:lncRNA
UGGCCCCGCCCCCAAGGCGAGGGUGCGGCCCCGUGAGGUCCCCGCGAGUCCGGAGCUGUGGCGGGCGGGCGGACGAGGGUGUCCCCGGUGCUGGCCUCCCAGGGUGCGGCGGGCUCAGAGGGACGGCCGCUGGCCAAGUGACGCCGAAGCGCCCCCUCCGCCCCGCCGCCUGCACCGCCGCCGACCUUGCCUGUGCGGUCGCCCGUGAGAUUCUUUCGAUCCCCUUCUGUAAGGUCCUCAGGUCCCCAGAUGACCAUUCUUCACAAAGACUUGCCUGCACCUCAUCAUCAUAUUGGGGCUUCCCUGGUGGCUCAGAUGGGUUGUCAACUACAAAUUGGCACUCGUCAUCUACCUCUUCAAGGAUUAAAUCGUGCUGCUGGAGCUGCUGAUUUUCAACACCCUCUGAAAAGAGCUGAGAGUGGAGAGCAGAAAUGACGCUGUCUUUGCUCUGGGAAAAACUGGCAGAACAAGUCUUCAAGUAGAUAUUUUCAGAAGAUGAUUUCAUGAGCCCAAUUCUUGUAUCUCCUCAUAUCUAGAAAAGCACUAAAAUCUUUCACGGUUUACAAGUCACUACUGCUCCUUGUGGCUAGCAGAAACCUGCAACAAAUACUUGCUUUGUCACAUAUACUCCCCCUUAACCAAAAUCACAAAUAUAUUGACCCCCUCCCUUCCUCUUUGGAGCAAUUUCUCAGAGCUAUCUGAGAUGCUGUCUCCCAGGCUGUACUCCUCAUUUUGCCCCCGAUAAAAUUUAACUCACAACUCUC